CUGCCAGCUGCCGCCAGGAGAGGCAAGAUGUAAAGUACCGUUCUGAGAUGACUUCCCUUCUGGGACCUCACUCUCCUGUGCACUCAUGUCUGGGCAUGUCCUCUCUUUGGUUUCAGGGCAUCUGACACCUCACACAGACACACAUGAAGGCAAGCCACCAAUGAACAUAAGAUAAGGGGAGAGGGAAAGCUGUCCCAAGCUCCCACAGAACAAGGAGUCAAGAUGCCUCACUUCUGCUUCUCUGUUCUCCAUCUCAGUUCACCUCCUUGUGCCCAGCGUUAGUCAACCCUGAAAGACUGAGAAACUAGGCUGCUGAGAUGGUUUAGUGGGUAAAGGCCUUGCUGCCAACCUUGACAAGCCAAGUUCGAUCCCUGGAACCCACAUGGUGGAUGGAGAGAGCGGACUUCCGCAAGUUGUCCUCAGACGUCCACAGGUACCUCCACCACAGCACAUGCACUGUGCAUGUGUACUCCAGUCCAUACUAUUCCCAAUCUAUUAAUCAAUAUUAAUCUAUAAAAAGUCAGAGAAUCAGGAACACAAAAGAGGGUAACUAUGACAGAAAGUUAAGCCAAGGCUGUUGCUGUGUUGAACUGCAUAUGGAGGCCUUGUGCUUUCUGUCAACCAGAGCCCCCCAAAAAAGCAAAUUCCAUCCAUGGACAAGCUGUCAGUUAUGGUGCAAGGAAACCCUCUCAUUUACAAAUAGACACAUGCGCUCUGGAUACCAGCAAAAGGGGACUGUGUCUGCUGGGCCUCACAGGAGGAAAUAGCCCACUAUUUGCUCAGGCACUGACUAUGGAAGGGAACCCCUGAUUCUUCCAGGGCCCUUGCUCUCAGGAGUCAGCUGUAACAGGGAUUCCUUGCUGCAUGAAGGAAUCUGUCACAAGAGGAGCAGGGAGGUAGGAAGGAUGGUGGCUGGGACCCCUGGAGAAGAGAGAGGCACAUGGAGACGGAUCAUAGUAUCAUGGA